CAGGAAAGCUGCUGUUUUUUGAUUGCUUUUUUUUUUUUAAGUAGGCUCCAUGCCCAACCUGGAGCUUGGAAUCACAGCCCUGAGAUGGAGAGUUGCACGCUUUAUCGACUGAGCCAGCCAGGCGCCCCGAGUGAUACCUCAGGAAAGCUGUUGGAAGGAACGAGAAAUAAGGUUCUUACUUCUCAAGUCCUCUCCUCUGAGAUCCCAGCCAGACCCUUGGUCCUCCACUGUCACCUUCACCAGGGACCACUCUAUAUGGGUUGUGUGAGGCCUGACUUCCUCUCGACCUCACGACCUUCCUCCUGGACGUCUGCCCCUCGCUUCACUCGGGCACCUGGUACGGCCCUUAGAGAGGACCCCUGUUCACCUGUUCAUCUCCCGGAGUUCACCGCCCCCUCCCUGCCCCCUGUUCUUUUGGUUUGGACUGACCAGCCCGGCCUUCACCCAGGGACCCUAGAACCAUUCGGCCCACCGGCCCUACCAAAGGCAGACGGCCGGGAGCUGCUGCCCACACGCCGCCUGCCGUGGCUCCCCUUGCGGCCUCUCGAGGCGUGAGGGCCGGUGAGUGACGGCCUUCCCUACUUUCCUGCUCCGCUGUGGGAGGCCCCCCCGGAACAAAUGUAAAUUCAACAGAAUCACAACACCCCACAUCCCAACACAGAGCAGCCUCGCAGGAUGUUUGCCGACCUGAAUCAAAAUGGAAAAACAGCCCCGGAAGAUCUGGGCCCGAGCCGCGAGGUAAGUUCUGGAUGCCUCCUAUGUGGCACGUUGUCUGGGUCGUGCCCCGGCCUGGUUGGGUUUCCCUGCUGCCUCACCUCUGCCUCACCUCUGCCUCACCUCUGCCUCACCUCUGCACUCAGACUUCGGCUUCGGUGGUGUGACCUGCUUUGGCUGACGGGAGAAGAGGAAACACGGUGCAGGUAGAAACUCGAGCAGCGCCUGGGCUUCGUGUCUCUUAGAGCAGUUGGGGCCUGGAGACCACCGGGGAAGGAGCCCAGGCGAGCUUGGUGCGGGAUGAGAGGCCUCCUGGGGCAGAACUCGGACCCGCCAGCUGCCGGCUGCCAGGCAUGAGCCGGGCCCUUACUGCCCUCUGACCGCAGACACGCAUCCAGGUCCAGCCAAACCCAACAGAACUGCCCGUCUGAGCCCAGCCCCAUCGCCGAGCCACUAACUGUAAAGCUA
rnacentral:lncRNA from 1 species